rnacentral:rRNA from 1 species
AGAGUUUGAUCCUGGCUCAGAUUGAACGCUGGCGGCAGGCCUAACACAUGCAAGUCGAACGGUAACAGGAAACAGCUUGCUGUUUCGCUGACGAGUGGCGGACGGGUGAGUAAUGUCUGGGAAACUGCCUGAUGGAGGGGGAUAACUACUGGAAACGGUAGCUAAUACCGCAUAACGUCGCAAGACCAAAGAGGGGGACCUUCGGGCCUCUUGCCAUCGGAUGUGCCCAGAUGGGAUUAGCUAGUAGGUGGGGUAACGGCUCACCUAGGCGACGAUCCCUAGCUGGUCUGAGAGGAUGACCAGCCACACUGGAACUGAGACACGGUCCAGACUCCUACGGGAGGCAGCAGUGGGGAAUAUUGCACAAUGGGCGCAAGCCUGAUGCAGCCAUGCCGCGUGUAUAAAGAAGGCCUUCGGGUUGUAAAGUACUUUCAGCGGGGAGGAAGGGAGUAAAGUUAAUACCUUUGCUCAUUGACGUUACCCGCAGAAGAAGCACCGGCUAACUCCGUGCCAGCAGCCGCGGUAAUACGGAGGGUGCAAGCGUUAAUCGGAAUUACUGGGCGUAAAGCGCACGCAGGCGGUUUGUUAAGUCAGAUGUGAAAUCCCCGGGCUCAACCUGGGAACUGCAUCUGAUACUGGCAAGCUUGAGUCUCGUAGAGGGGGGUAGAAUUCAGGUGUAGCGAUGAAAUGCGUAGAGAUCUGGAGGAAUACCGGUGGCGAAGGCGGCCCCCUGGACGAAGACUGACGCUCANGUGCGAAAGCGUGGGGAGCAAACAGGGAUAGAUACCCUGGUAGUC